UACGGAAGGCAGCAGUGGGGAAUAUUGCACAAUGGGCGCAAGCCUGAUGCAGCCAUGCCGCGUGUAUGAAAAAGGCCUUCGGGUUGUAAAGUACUUUCAGUCGUGAGGAAGGUGUUAAGGUUAAUAACCUUAGCAAUUGACGUUAGCGACAGAAGAAGCACCGGCUAACUCCGUGCCAGCAGCCGCGGUAAUACGGAGGGUGCGAGCGUUAAUCGGAAUUACUGGGCGUAAAGGGCACGCAGGCGGUUAAUUAAGUUGGAUGUGAAAUCCCCGGGCUUAACCUGGGAAUGGCAUUCAAGACUGGUUAGCUAGAGUCUUGUAGAGGGGGUAGAAUUCCAUGUGUAGCGGUGAAAUGCGUAGAGAUGUGGAGGAAUACCGGUGGCGAAGGCGGCCCCUGGACAAAGACUGACGCUCAUGUGCGAAAGCUGGGGAGCGAAACAGGGAUUAGAUAC
rnacentral:rRNA from 1 species